rnacentral:rRNA from 4 species
UUAAAUUGAAGAGUUUGAUCAUGGCUCAGAUUGAACGCUGGCGGCAGGCCUAACACAUGCAAGUCGAACGGUAACAGGAAGCAGCUUGCUGCUUCGCUGACGAGUGGCGGACGGGUGAGUAAUGUCUGGGAAACUGCCUGAUGGAGGGGGAUAACUACUGGAAACGGUAGCUAAUACCGCAUAACGUC